CGCCGCACGGGUCGUCACGCUGUCCCGUGAGACCACCUGCCUCGCUGGCGGGUUUUAAUCAAGGGACUAAUUUUCUCAAAACGUGAGGGAUAUUAUGUGUUCUCUGUGGAUUGAUACGAAAAACCCAGUGUUGUUUGGUGCCUAGCAUUCAGAAAUAUCAGCAAUUAACGUACCACCUAUGAUGAAAUGUGCAUGAUUGUGUGUGUGUUUUGCCAUUUUUACUGUUGAAGUGUGAUUCAAAUAUCCGUACAUCGUUCCGUGAGCUGAGUGGACAUAUGCACCAUUCUUCCAUAACGACAGUUAAUUCAAAUGACGGAAGUUAGUGUGUGACAAAUUGAAUUACCAAAUACAAAAAUUCAAGUCAACCUAAAUUGGGAGGAUGUCCUGCUUGGCCAACUUGCAGCGUGCUGAAUGUGUGCAGACCUCGAUGUGCUGAGUGCGCGUCAGGGACGCGGUGUUCCGCGUCCCUGAAAUACAACAAGGAGAAAACAAAGCACGCCAAGACACUGUUCACCUGGGUCAGAUCCUACUGUGGCGCGGGAGUCAGUCAGUCAGUCAGUCAGCAUCGUAAGACACAAGACGAGGAGCAAGCAAGAUUCACGACGACACAGUUCUUCACUGACUCGUCAACUCACUGACAGCAAAGUGCGUCUGUGCAGAGAAGACAACACGUGUGGUGCCGCCCUCCCGUGACUACUGAGGAGACAGGAAAGAGAAGAAACCAGGAAAGAAACAGCAAGAGGAGGAAGAGGAGGAGGAGGAGAAGGAGGAGGAAGAGGAGGACGACGACGAAAAAGAGUUGGGGAUUAAAGGGGAGGAGGACGAACAAGAGGAUGUACUGUGGUAAGAGGAGGAGGAGGAAGGCGUAAAUAGAAUAAAGGAAUAAAGAAAUACAAAAAAGAGUACGAAUGUAUAGGGAAGAAUAACGAAAUAUAUUGUCAAAUCAGGAAAAAAAAGAAGGAAGAAAAGGAAAUAUAAAGGAAAUAGAAGCAAGAGUAGUGAAGCUUGAGAUAGAAUAAAAAAAAGAUAUGAAGGAGUAAUGGUUUAUAAGAAGGAGUAAGGAAAUAUAAGGAAGAAUAAUGAGAAGUACAGAAGGAAAAGGAUAUAUAAUGAAAGAAAAUAGCCGUAGAUAACGCCUAUGAAAUUUUACUGCCACACAUUUCUUUCCUCCUCUCCUUCGAUUACCUUCCAACGUGGCAUACCCUUCCCUUAGCUAACCCAGCCAUUAUCCAAGAGGCAGAGAGGGAGAAGAUACAGUGCUCACCUCCUCACCACGCCCUGCAAUAAAGAGCAACACCUCCUCCUUCAAUGACCUCAUCCCAACACAUCAAAGACAAACCCACCACCACUACCACCACCACCACCACCACCACCACCACCACUACCACCACCACCACCACAACCACCAACCACGACCAUAACAAUAAUAAUGACCAAAAUCAUAACCCCUCCACAAUUCCCGCCACAGUCAGAGCCGCACAGAGUCACCAGCAGCACCUCCAAGCCAACUCUCCUUGUCCCAGCGGCAGUCCUGGUCCCCCCUUACCACCACGUCGCCUUCACCAGCACCACCCUCUCCCUCCUCCACGCCACCGCCGCCACUCCAGCACGAGACCACCGCCCUUAACCCUCCGAGGAACGUGCUGCCCCAGGGCCGUCUCGACCAGCUGCAGGCGGAGGUGAGCAAGCUGGAGCAGCGGAGCGAGCAGCUGGAGGCUCGGGUAAAGAGUUUCUUCCGCCAGCACCAUGCCCUCGCCGCUGCCACGGACCAGAUCGACCUUAAACUGGAGGCGCUCAACCGACAACACAAGACCCUCUCGUCCUCAUAGUCUUUUGUGUGGCUGCCUCGAGGAACACUGCACGUACACCGCCUCUCCUGAGUGUGUUAUGGAGAUCCUUAAUGUUGAGGCAUACCUGUGUUUCCUGGUGUGAAAGAGAUUUGUGUGGUGUAAUACAGGUGCCGACACCGCACUUACCCACAAGAACUGACAAAAUAUCAUCGUUUUUAUGCUUACUAUAAUUUUUUUUAGGAAGAGUCUUGGUGCGGCUGUAUGUGUGUGUGUGUGUGUGUGUGUGUGUGUGUGUGUGUGUGUGUGUGUGUGUGUGUGUGUGUGUGUGUGUGUGUGUGUGUGUGUGUGUGUGUGUGUUCCCUGGUUCAAAACAAACUUGUGCAGAGUGAGACAGGUGGCCACACAGCACUCACCUACGAAAACUUAGGGAAUAUUGGCAUUUUUAUGAAGAGCGUUUUUAUAAAGAGUCCUGGGACCGCUGCGUGUGUGUCUGUGUGUCUUGACGCAACACGAACUUGUGCGGAGUAAGAUGGAUGGAUGCCAGAACAACUUUACCCGACGGAAACUUAUCAAACAAUGUCAAUUUUAGGCUUCAUCUUUAUUUUUGUAUGAGUCAGUGUCGCAGAGAAUGCCUCAGAAAGGUUACGUGGACCACACACAUUUUUUUUUACGGCUAGUUUUAUGUUUUGUGGCCGCUCGGAUACAAUGUAUUUCUGGGAACAGGCUCGUCAAGACCUCGCCGCGGGGUUGCGUGGGCGCGGCGGGGAGUUCCCUCGCUCCUUCCUUCUCUCGCCAAGCUCGCCUCUCUUCACCCAACACUCGAUAUUUUGAGGAAAAUGGAGCGGCUACAACAAAGGCAACAAAUUUUCAGGGGCAGGGUGUAUUGGUAAAAAAAAAGUAGGGCUUUCAUAAAGACGGGCUGGAACUUAUUAAAAUGAGAUCCAAACGAUGGAAAUUAACAAGAAAAUCUUAAUACAGGUAGUUAAGCGUGACUAAAAUAGCAGAUUAAAAAAAAAACAAAAAAAACAAAACAAAACAAAAAACAGAAGGCAAUAGAAAGCAUAGAAACAUAUUAUGGCUUUCAUUGAUACCUUUUUGUGACGCGUGUGUUGCAUGCACGGAGACUG